rnacentral:rRNA from 1 species
AAUAUUGGACAAUGGGCGAAAGCCUGAUCCAGCCAUGCCGCGUGUGUGAAGAAGGUCUUCGGAUUGUAUAGCACUGUAAUUUGGGAGGAAGGGCAGUAAGUUAAUACCUUGCUGUUUUGACGUUACCGUAAGAAUAAGCACCGCCUAACUUCGUGCCAGCACCCGCGGUAAUACGAAGGGUGCGAGCGUUAAUGGGAAUUACUGGGCGUAAAGCGAGCGUAGGUGGUUUGUUAAGGUAAAAGUGAAAGGCACGGGCUCAACCUGGGAACUGCUUUCAAAACUGCUGAGCUAGAGUACGGUAGAGGGUAGUGGAAUUUCCUGUGUAGCGGUGAAAUGCGUAGAUAAAGGAAGGAACACCAGUGGCGAAGGCGACUACCUGGACUGAUACUGACACUGAGGUGCGAAAGCGUGGGGAGCAGACA